GAGGACACGCUGGCGGCGUGCUUAACACAUGCAAGUCGAACGGAGAUUAUUAAUGAAGCUUGCGAUUUAAUAAUCUUAGUGGCGGACGGGUGAGUAACGCGUGGGCAACCUACCCAUAAGAGGGGGAUAACAGUUGGAAACGACUGCUAAUACCGCAUAAGCUAUAGAGGUCGCAUGACCUUAAUAGUAAAGGUGGCACUGUUUACAGGCUAUCACUUAUGGAUGGGCCCGCGUCUGAUUAGCUAGUUGGUGGGGUAGAGGCCUACCAAGGCAACGAUCAGUAGCCGGCCUGAGAGGGUGGACGGCCACACUGGGACUGAGACACGGCCCAGACUCCUACGGGGGGCAGCAGUGGGGAAUCUUGCACAAUGGGCGAAAGCCUGAUGCAGCGACGCCGCGUGAGCGAAGAAGGCCUUCGGGUUGUAAAGCUCUGUCUGGAGGGACGAAGAAAGUGACGGUACCUCCGGAGGAAGCCACGGCUAACUACGUG
rnacentral:rRNA from 1 species